GACCAGUUCCAGCCUUGCUUACUGAAG
rnacentral:piRNA from 1 species